CAGGAUCGACGGACGUCUAAAGGGGUUUGCUUUGUCUCGGCGGGGUGCCACCGUACCGGCCCAAACAGUACAAUUGCAAACGACAAUCGUGCUCCGGUUGCUCUGGCUGCGUAAGCAGUUCGAGGAAUCGAAAUCUAAGCCCUUGCGCCUAGCCGCGUAAGGCGGGGUUCGCAGGUACCUGGCAACAGAAACCUGCACU
rnacentral:tmRNA from 1 species